rnacentral:misc_RNA from 1 species
AAGUCGUAACAAGGUUUCCGUAGGUGAACCUGCGGAAGGAUCAUUAACGAAUAACUAUGGUGUUGGUUGUAGCUGGCUCCUCGGAGCAAUGUGCACGCCCGCCAUUUUUAUCUUUCCACCUGUGCACCGACUGUAGGUCUGGAUACCUCUCGCCUCCGGGCGGAUGCGAGGGUUGCUCGUAAGGGCUUCCCUUGAACUUCCAGGCUCUACGUCUUUUUACACACCCCAAUAGUAUGAUGCAGAAUGUAGUCAAUGGGCUUCUCAGCCUAUAAAACACUAUACAACUUUCAGCAACGGAUCUCUUGGCUCUC